AAGUCGUAACAAGGUUUCCGUAGGUGAACCUGCGGAAGGAUCAUUAAAAUACCGAUAAAAAACACUGCUUUUGGCACUAAACACACGAACCUAUAUUUUUUUUAAUACCUUCUAAGCUUCACUUUUUGUGAAACUUAAAUAAAAAAACAAAACUUUCAACAACGGAUCUCUUGGUUCUC
rnacentral:misc_RNA from 1 species